rnacentral:rRNA from 1 species
UACGGGGGGGGCAAGCGUUGUUCGGAAUUACUGGGCGUAAAGGGCUCGUAGGCGGCCAACUAAGUCAGACGUGAAAUCCCCAGGCUUAACCUGGGAACUGCGUCUGAUACUGGAUGGCUUGAAUUCGGGAGAGGGAUGCAGAAUUCCAGGUGUAGCGGUGAAAUGCGUAGAUAUCCGGAGGAAUACCGGUGGCGAAGGCGGCAUCCUGGACCGACAUUGACGCUGAGGAGCGAAAGCUAGGGGAGCAAACGGG